rnacentral:rRNA from 1 species
GACGAACGCUGGCGGCGUGCUUAACACAUGCAAGUCGAACGGAAAGGCCCUGCUUGCAGGGUACUCGAGUGGCGAACGGGUGAGUAACACGUGGGUGAUCUGCCCUGCACUUCGGGAUAAGCCUGGGAAACUGGGUCUAAUACCGGCUAGGAGCCAUUUUUAGUGUGAUGGUUGGAAAGUUUUUUCGGUGUAUGAUGAGCUCGCGGCCUAUCAGCUUGUUGGUGGGGUAAUGGCCUACCAAGGCGGCGACGGGUAGCCGGCCUGAGAGGGUGGACGGCCACACUGGGACUGAGAUACGGCCCAGACUCCUACGGGAGGCAGCAGUGGGGAAGAUUGCACAAUCGGCGCAAGCCUGAUGCAGCGACGCCGCGUGGGGGAUGACGGCCUUCGGGUUGUAAACUCCUUUCGCUAGGGACGAAGCUUUUUGUGACGGUACCUAGAUAAGAAGCACCGGCUAACUACGUG